CCUACGGGAGGCAGCAGUGGGGAAUAUUGGACAAUGGGGGCAACCCUGAUCCAGCCAUGCCGCGUGUGUGAAGAAGGCCCUCGGGUUGUAAAGCACUUUCAGUGAGGAAGAACGCCUGGUGGUUAAUACCCAUCAGGAAGGACAUCACUCACAGAAGAACCACCGGCUAACUCCGUGCCAGCAGCCGCGGUAAUACGGAGGGUGCGAGCGUUAAUCGGAAUUACUGGGCGUAAAGCGCGCGUAGGUGGCUUGAUAAGCCGGUUGUGAAAGCCCCGGGCUCAACCUGGGAACGGCAUCCGGAACUGUCAAGCUAGAGUGCAGGAGAGGAAGGUAGAAUUCCCGGUGUAGCGGUGAAAUGCGUAGAGAUCGGGAGGAAUACCAGUGGCGAAGGCGGCCUUCUGGACUGACACUGACACUGAGGUGCGAAAGCGUGGGUAGCAAACAGGAUUAGAUACCCCAGUAGUC
rnacentral:rRNA from 1 species